GCAUAUCAAUAAGCGGAGGAAAAGAAACCAACCGGGAUUGCCUCAGUAACGGCGAGUGAAGCGGCAAAAGCUCAAAUUUGAAAUCUGGCUCCUUCGGGGUCCGAGUUGUAAUUUGUAGAGGAUGCUUCGGGUGCGGCCCCCGUCUAAGUGCUCUGGAAUGGGCCAUCAGAGAGGGUGAGAAUCCCGUCUGGGGCGGGGUGUCCGCGUCCGUGUGAAGCUCCUUCGACGAGUCGAGUUGUUUGGGAAUGCAGCUCUAAAUGGGUGGUAAAUUUCAUCUAAAGCUAAAUAUUGGCCGGAGACCGAUAGCGCACAAGUAGAGUGAUCGAAAGAUGAAAAGCACUUUGAAAAGAGAGUUAAAAAGCACGUGAAAUUGUUGAAAGGGAAGCACUUACGACCAGACUCGCUCACGGGGUUCAGCCGGCUUUCGGGCCGGUGUACUUCCCCGGGAGCGGGCCAGCGUCGGUUUGGGCGGCCGGUUAAAGGCCCCUGGAAUGUAACACCUCUCGGGGUGUCUUAUAGCCAGGGGUGCCAUGCGGCCAGCCCAGACCGAGGAACGCGCUUCGGCACGGACGCUGGCAUAAUGGUCGUAAAUGACCCGUCUUGAAACACGGACCAAGGAGUCUAACAUCUACGCGAGUGUUCGGGUGGCAAACCCGUACGCGAAGUGAAAGCGAACGGAGGUGGGAGCCUCUUAAGGGGCGCACCAUCGACCGAUCCUGAUGUCUUCGGAUGGAUUUGAGUAUGAGCGUAGCUGUGGGGACCCGAAAGAUGGUGAACUAUGCCUGAAUAGGGUGAAGCCAGAGGAAACUCUGGUGGAGGCUCGCAGCGGUUCUGACGUGCAAAUCGAUCGUCAAAUUUGGGUAUAGGGGCGAAAGACUAAUCGAACCAUCUGGUAGCUGGUUCCUGCG
rnacentral:rRNA from 1 species